CAGAUGCUGCCGUUUCCACGGCAGAUAUUGGCUCACGUCUUCUGCUUGAUUCCUUCUAUGGCUGCAUGCAAUGGGACUAUAGCUCAGUUAGCCGGAAAGCCUGCCGAGAAAAAUACAGCAAAUUGAUGCAAAUUAAAUCUAUUUGAGAGAAGUUGAAUAUUAGUGCGUACAAACGUACAAUGAUACAAAAUAAACCUCUGAAAUUAGUUUAUUCUUCCUUAUCAUAUAUUUUUAGCCGUUGUUUUGGU